CUCUGAUUCAGCAGAUGUAUCAGGGCAUAAGGAG
ncrna:Carnobacterium sp. WN1374 L31-Firmicutes ribosomal protein leader